rnacentral:rRNA from 1 species
UACGUAGGGUGCAGGCGUUAAUCGGAAUUACUGGGCGUAAAGCGUGCGCAGGCGGUGAUGUAAGACAGUUGUGAAAUCCCCGGGCUCAACCUGGGAACUGCAUCUGUGACUGCAUCGCUGGAGUGCGGCAGAGGGGAUGGAAUUCCGCGUGUAGCAGUGAAAUGCGUAGAUAUGCGGAGGAACACCGAUGGCGAAGGCAAUCCCCUGGGCCUGCACUGACGCUCAUGCACGAAAGCGUGGGGAGCAAACAGG